UACAGAGGGUGCGAGCGUUAAUCGGAAUUACUGGGCGUAAAGCGUGCGUAGACGGUUAUAUAAGUCGGGUGUGAAAGCCCCGGGCUCAACCUGGGAAUUGCAUUCGAGACUGCAUAGCUAGGGUACGGAAGAGGGAAGCGGAAUUUCCGGUGUAGCGGUGAAAUGCGUAGAUAUCGGAAGGAACAUCAGUGGCGAAAGCGGCUUCCUGGUCCAGUACCGACGUUCAGGCACGAAAGCGUGGGGAGCAAACAGG
rnacentral:rRNA from 1 species